ensembl:misc_RNA Y_RNA Y RNA
GGCUGAUCUGAAGGUAGUGAAUUAUCUCAAUUGACUUCACAGUCAGUUACAGAUCGAACUCCUUGUUCUACUCUUUUCCCCCUUCUCACUACUGCCCUUGACUAGUCUUUU